rnacentral:rRNA from 1 species
CCCUUAGAUGUUCUGGGCCGCACGCGCGCUACACUGAUGCAUUCAACGAGCCUAUCCUUGACCGACAGGUCCGGGUAAUCUUUGAAUCUGCAUCGUGACGGGGAUAGAAUAUUGCAAUUAUUAAUCUUCAACGAGGAAUGCCUAGUAGGCGCAAGUCAUCAGCUUGCGUCGAUUACGUCCCUGCCCUUUGUACACACCGCCCGUCGCUCCUACCGAUUGGGUGUGCUGGUGAAAUGUUCGGAUCGGCCGUUUGUCGCGGUUUCCGCGUCAUGUGGCUGAGAAGUUCAUUAAACCCUCCCACCUAGAGGAAGGAGAAGUCGUAACA